UGUUCUCUUUUAACAGAACAUCCCAUAUACAGUAACCACAGCAUUGUUGUGCAGAAAAGGUUCAGGGCUCAGUAGCUGUUCACACAUACCUGUCCUGUGCAUGCUCUAAAGCGUUCUCACCACAUAAUACCCUCCUAUGACAGGCAAUAGUAAGAUUAUGCUGACAGCAGCAGAGUAUUUCUCGUAUAACAGGAAACGGAGGAAGCAACCUCGAAGCCCUCAGAUCCGAGCGCAUAGACGUCUUCUUUGGUGUGACGCUACAUAGCACAGGCAGCAAAGAGUGGCCGUCAUCACAGUGGGAGUAGGAGAAGGCAAAGGAAAAAGGAAAUAGCCCGAAGACAAGGGACGCAUCCACUGUGUGUGUGUGUGUGUGUGUGUGUGUGUGUGUGUGUGUGUGUGUGUGUGUGUGUGUGUGUGUGUGUGUGUGUGUGUGUGUGUGUGUGUGUGUGUGUGUGUGUGUGUGUGUGUGUGUGUGUGUGUGUGUGUGUGUGUGUGUGUUUCUGUAUUUGUGUGCUUGUGUGUUCUAUCAAAAACCUGGGACAUCUGUCCUGUUGAACAGUUGCAAUAUCUCCUAACAAGCUUUUAAUAUAUUUUCUGGAAGCAGGCAUCUCCAAAUAAAUACUGCCUGGGGGAGAUUUCGACAAAGCAGAGCAAGAUGAGGCAACAUCAGGGAGUAAUGGACCAGCCGAAGAGUCUGAUCGAGAGAGAAAGGGGCACUCUGACAGAGGAGGGUGACCGACGGGAUUGGUGAGGGAAGUGGUUUUUGCUGAUAGAGAAAGGGAAAGGGUCGAUUGUCCCCACCGCUGCUGAGAUAGUGGUGGAUGCUAUUAAGAUAAGGAGGAUUAGACCUGCCACAGUGCUGUUCCUGCUGCUCUAACCUGAGGGACGGAGAGUGAGGAGUAAAAGGCCUAGGUCAGGAGGCUUUAUUGUCACUUCAGCUUUCAGCGACCAAAGAGAGAGUGAGUCAGUCAUGUCGAUUUGAUGUGAUCUUUCUAGGAUUAGGCGCAACCCGAGUAGCAUUUGUCACCACAAGCAACUCUUCCAAAAUCAGGGAAACAAACUUAAGACUAAAUUUGUUUUGGUUGAAUCAGAGGUGGAAUUAGUUCUCAGGCCUUGAAAUUAAAUAAGGCAAUAGCACACGUGAAAAUAAAUGUAAUCAGUGCAAGAAAAGGUUCUACAUUCAAAUAGUUACUAUUGUUUCAGUUCAAACAUGAAAAAAAACCUUACCCUAAUUACCCUUGAGGGGAUUUUUUUGAUAUUUGGUAAUGUUCAGUGGUCAGAUGUCACGCUGACCUCAUAUAAGUGUGGGAAAAAAACAUAAUGUAAACUGAAACCGAACGAGAACACAAGUCAAUGUGAUUCCCUUUGUUUUGCCCUUAUUCUUCUUAUUUUCAGAUUAUUUCAGUGCAAUUAUAAUAUGUUUGACUAAAUCAUUUAUGAAAAAACUACAUUUUGUUCUUGCUAGUGUCACUUUGAUUCUGCAGGUAAUAAUCCCACAUCUAAAUCAGUGUAGGAAAAUACCUUUAAAAAGCUGAAAUCACAGCAUCUUUUCUUUUUGAUACUGUUGCAGCAGCACUGAGUUAAUUGAGAUGAGUAACAUCACAUGCACGUUGCACAUGCACAUUACACACAUGUUCAGAAAAGAGGGAGGGACACUAAUACACACAUCCUAUAAAGCACACCCUGCAUAAGUAGAUUACUAUUUCUUUUUUAAUGGCCUGUUUUUAACUUCUUUUCAACCAAUUUAUUUCCACAUCAAUUAUGCUCUGCCACAGUUGGGUUUUACCAGGAGUACGAGUGAGGAGUUAGGACGUAAGAGAAAAUGUCCACGAGGACCCAAGCAAUCACUCUGUGGUCACAUAUAUUUCAACAUAUUACACCUGGAAGCGGCGGUCUAAUGGACACUGAUUUACGAGACAGGGACAGAGACCGGGAGGUUUGCUCCGGGUCUGUUUCCUCUGAGUCGGUCGGGAGUGGGACCUCAUUCUGGGGCUUUUAUGUCACUGCUGUGCUUAAUGGCCCGUGUGCCUUCUCUGAGGCCUGCUACACACAUGCAGUAAAUCAACAGAGGAGGAACAUACCAGUUAAUCACAGCCUUUGUUUCUGACUGAGAGAAGACAAUACAUCUAACUGAAUGCCACCGAGUUGACAGAGAGAGCAUCAGGACGACUAACGCUGUCAUAUCAGCGAGACCAACUUCCUCAGCAGCUGUGGCUGCGUCUGAAAAGAAUCAGUUUUUUCAUCCAACUCUCACCACUGUCAGCAAAGCACACUUAUAUAACUGAGACUAAAGUGUCGGGACAAAUGUAAGCAUCACCUCAUCGUACAGUCACAGUUAAAAAGCUUGUCUUUUUAAAUAAGCAUGGUUGUAAACAUUGCAAUUAAAAAACUAAAAUAUUCCGGGCUGGUUUGGUUUACGCUGCCGGACGGCCUAAUCCAACAAUAUUCAACACGGGACAUAAUUAACAGGCAGAGGAGAAUGUAAAGCAGUGAUUACUGCUAUUGUCAAGCUGCAGGCGCUAAAAUAGCUUCAGGCUUAGCUAAAAACAAUAUGAGAACGAAUAUUAUGUGCUGAAAAACGAAUAUGUCUACAAACAAAAACAUGCUGCUGAUUUUUUAAUCUAGGGUGACUGUUGCAAAAGAAAAACACUUUCUUAUUUUCUCUACAUUAUGCAACCUGUGAUUUAAUAUCACUUUUAGAUACAAGACAAUUCAUUCAAAAUAUAUAAACUGGCAACAGCCAACUCCCCUUUUUUUUUUUUUUUUAUCUGAGAGUUUCCGAGCACAUAUUUCAGUUUUUGCCGCGGGCUUUUAGCAAAGUUUAACAGCCAGCUCCAUCAAAUACAUACAGUGGCAGCCUUCUACAGUAGCCUAAUUAAAAAGCUUUCAAGCUUGUUUUUCAGAUCCACUAAUCACUGAGACAGUUCGCUGGUUGUUUACGGCCUGUGUGAGCACAAGCAUACACCGCCUAACAGCAAAUGAAUCUCCAAUAAUCUAAUUUGAGGUCCCCUAUUUAAACGUAAUUAGACUCGGCGUGUGGUCCGCACUCAAAUCAAAUAUGUACGGUGCAUAUCUAGACUGAAAACUGCAGCAAUGUAAAGGGUCGAAGUUAGGUAAUGAUCAUGAAAGAAAUGGAGCGAGCGACACGUGAGCGGACGGUUCUGCAGCUCAGAGCCGAAAGCAGAGACGCAGCCGGUAAGAGUUAGAAGCUUUUGAAUCCGUACCGUCAUAUAUAAGAAAAGAUAAAAAAGGGAUCAAAUAAAAGGCUGGGAUAAAGCAACCCACCUUUUAAAAGCACUGAUGUUCUUCUUGGAAAAGACGCUCAGAUUAUCCUAUGUACAUAGAGGCUAAAAUAAAGUAGGUUUCCUCUCAGAAUCAUAAAUUUACUUAACUACUUUAAUGUCAUGUGCUUUGUUAUUCGUUGGUUUGCAGUGAACCGACGAUCCCAUGCAUGUGGGAUGACGUCAUGGUUCAGGGGGACAGAACUGUAACACCGUUAUGUCUGAUUACAUGUUGUCUCUUGGCCUUUGCUGCUUUCUUUCCCUGCAGUAAUAACAUGUACACCGUAAAUCAGUAUUUCAAGAAAGUGCUCAUGUGACCAAUAAGUCUUACCGUGUAAGAUGAAUAAGUCAUGGUGAGUUUAGACGAUGAUGCUCAUUAAAAUUUUAAAAUCUAAUCCACAGGAGCUUUGACAGAAUUUCUUUACUUAUUGUGAGGCCUUUCCUUCUGGAUAUUUUUGGUUAUGUUAUGAAAAGUUUGUACAUAUGUACAUAUUAUAUUUAUGCACAUGUCCUUAAAAAAGUCUAAUCAACUUCGGAAUAUAAAAAUAUCAAAUUUAAGAUUGAAGAUCAUUAUUCUGUAUAUGUAACUGAAAUCCAUUCAUUUCCAUGGAUGAAUCGAAUGGGAAUUACUGGAUGUAGGAAAUGUUGGAAACACAGACAGCAAAUCAGAAUUGGACCUUUCUUACUAAAAUAAAGUUUAUAUACGUAUUUAUUAACAUUUUUUUUAAUGUGGUUAGAUUUGUAGGCAGAGUUAAAUACUUGUUUGUCUUAAUCUUGGUUUAUGAAAAGAUUGUUUAUUUAAAAAUUAAAGACAAUUAAUGAAUUGGUUUUUUUCUCCUAAACACGUUUAUUAAAAGCUUCUACUUCGAUAACUCAACAUUUUCCUCCUCCUUCUUCUUCUCUGAAUGCAUGUUUCGAUUAAGAUUUUGACUGAGAUCAAUCUGCGUAGAACUUGUUUACUCUCAUCUUGUCUCGGGCAGCAGCACCACCUGAGCAACUGGGCGCCUAUGAGCACCAGCCGGACACACUGUGGCCCCCACUCUAUCUCUUUAUUAUCAGCUAAUUAGUGUGGUUAAUCAGGCUGAUGAUGAGCCAGGGCACCGUGCCAUUUCAAUCUGACACCAGGCCGGGGUUCAGACCCCCACCAGGCACACCACGGCCAUCCGAGAUCUCCCUGAAGACAAAUCAUCCUCGGCACCAGAGGACAGAGGGAUGACAAGGGCAGCAGUGUCUUUCCAGAUCUUUCUGCCCUUUGGGCUCAGCAGCUGGGGACACUGAACACAUCAGAAACUGAUGCUCUCUGUCACGUAUGACCCUUCAGAUCCAUACAGACACGUUUCCUAACCUGCCUCCCUCCUACAAAACACACACAUCCCCAACAAUUUCCCCUCCACAGU